rnacentral:rRNA from 1 species
AAUAGUUAUGUUCUUGAAACCCAAAGAAUUUGGCGGUAUUUUAUUCUUUUUAGAGGAGCCUGUCCUGUAAUUGAUAACCCACGAUGAUAAAGUACCUAUUCUUGUUUUCAGUUUGUAUAUCUCCAUCAUAAGAUUAUCUUUUUAGAGUUAAUAUUCUACUAAUAUAAAAUAUUAUAUGACAGGUCAAGGUGCAGUUCAUGAUUAGGUAGAGAUGGGCUACAAUAAAUAUAUUUAUAUGGAUUAUUGUUUUUAUUGAUAAUAUGAAGGUGGAUUUAAAAGUAAAAUUAUUUUCUUGAUAUUUUGAUUUUAGCUCUAAAAUAUGUACACAUCGCCCGUCGCUCUUAUUUUAAAAUAAGAUAAGUCGUAACAUAGUAGGUGUACUGGAAGGUGUACCUAGUAAGUAAA